CACAAAUAUGAAGGUGCCGCAAGGCUUGCAAGGCUGGCGUAUCUCUUACCCAUGUCUUUGGAGUACCUUCGUUGUUCCUCGGGCGGGUCCGCCCGCCUCAUUGGACACAUGAUAAACCAUUUAUGCAGUUGCAAUCAGCGUCAGUAAAAAACUGUAAUCAUUUA
rnacentral:misc_RNA from 1 species